UACGUAGGGUGCAAGCGUUAAUCGGAAUUACUGGGCGUAAAGCGUGCGCAGGCGGUUCUAUAAGACAGAUGUGAAAUCCCCGGGCUCAACCUGGGAACUGCAUUUGUGACUGUAGAGCUGGGGUACGGUAGAGGGGGAUGGAAUUCCGCGUGUAGCAGUGAAAUGCGUAGAUAUGCGGAGGAACACCGAUGGCGAAGGCAAUCCCCUGGACCUGUACUGACGCUCAUGCACGAAAGCGUGGGGAGCAAACAGG
rnacentral:rRNA from 1 species